rnacentral:rRNA from 1 species
GAUGCUGACGACCGGCGCACGGGUGAGUAACGCGUAUGGAACCUACCUGAAACAGGGGGAUAGCUUCCGGAAACGGGGAUUAAUACCGCAUACGAUUCAUUAGUGGCCUCACAAAUGGAUAAAAGCUACGGCGGUUUCAGAUGGCCAUGCGUACCAUUAGUUAGUUGGUGAGGUAAAGGCUCACCAAGGCGAUGAUGGUUAGGGGUCCUGAGAGGGUAGUCCCCCACACUGGUACUGAGACACGGACCAGACUCCUACGGGAGGCAGCAGUGAGGAAUAUUGGUCAAUGGGCGCUAGCCUGAACCAGCCAUGCCGCGUGCAGGAAGACGGCCCUACGGGUUGUAAACUGCUUUUCUGCAGGAAGAAUAUAUAGUCUUAGGGGUAUAUUGACGGUACUGCAGGAAUAAGCAUCGGCUAACUCCGUGCCAGCAGCCGCGGUAAUACGGAGGAUGCAAGCGUUAUCCGGAUUCAUUGGGUUUAAAGGGUGCGCAGGCUGUAAAGCAAGUCAGUGGUGAAAGCCCUGGGCUUAACUCAGGGAUUGCCAUUGAAACUGUUUUACUAGAGUGUAGUAGAGGACGGCGGAAUGAGUUGUGUAGCGGUGAAAUGCAUAGAUAUAACUCAGAACACCUAUUGCGUAGGCAGCUGUCUAUACUACAACUGACGCUGAGGCACGAAAGCGUGGGGAGCGAACAGGAUUAGAUACCCUGGUAGUCCACGCUGUAAACGAUAAUCACUCGUUGUUGGCUACUUAGUAGUCAGUGACCAAGGGAAACCGAUNAGUGAUCCACCUGGGGAGUACGUCCGGCAACGAUGAAACUCAAAGGAAUUGACGGGGGCCCGCACAAGCGGAGGAACAUGUGGUUU